rnacentral:rRNA from 1 species
UACGUAGGGUGCAAGCGUUGUCCGGAAUUAUUGGGCGUAAAGAGCUCGUAGGCGGUUUGUCGCGUCUGCUGUGAAAACCCGAGGCUCAACCUCGGGCCUGCAGUGGGUACGGGCAAACUAGAGUGCGGUAGGGGAGAACGGAAUUCCUGGUGUAGCGGUGGAAUGCGCAGAUAUCAGGAGGAACACCGAUGGCGAAGGCAGUUCUCUGGGCCGUAACUGACGCUGAGGAGCGAAAGCGUGGGGAGCGAACAGG